UGUUGGGUGUAGUGAAGGGUUAACCUUCUGUGUCUCGAGGCUGAGAGGAGGCGCUUACAAGGGAAGUAAGCCAGGACGUGACGAAAGCAGCUUGGAAUGCUGUGAGCUGAGUGAAAAGUGAAAGCAGCUUUGUUCCGCAGCUGCUGCUGAGAGAGAAGGAUGCAAACGCAGAGCAAAAUGCAGCUACAAUCUGAUGGUGUUUCUGAACUGUAAAUAUGCUACUUUUGAGCAAAUAAAGUGCUAUUAGGAAAGAAGAAACGUGUGGGACUUCUUUACUGCUCUUUCUACAUGGACGCUGUGCAAUUCUGCUAAUUGCUUUACGACCUGCAGAGGCCCGCAGGGGGAAGUGUGCUGGACGCCAAGAGUAAAGCAAUAAAUCUUACCUAACAUGGUUAUGGGUCAACGUGAAGCGUGUGAGGAAGGGCUUUGAAGCUUUAUCUGCUGGUCGUCAGCUUGAUCGACUGCCGGAGACUUCAAAGAGGCAGAUCGGAGGAGGCUGACGGAGGCUGGGAGCCAAGAGCCAUGACGUCCGGAGUUCCCAGUUUGGCUGAGUGAGUACCUUUGGGAAAAGCCAACAGAAGGGAGGGCAAUGGCUCAGCCCUGUGAACAUGGCUUUGAGUUUAAACUGCCAUGUCAGAGACUGACUAGCCAAAAUUGGCUGCAGUGGAGCUUUCAAGUGGAGCUUUUGCUAGUGGGGGAGCAGCUGUGGAAUGUAAUUCACCCCACACAGAAUGCAGCUGGGAAAGCAGAGGCUGAGAGAGCUGCAGAGCAAAGUGAAGUGGAGAAGCGUGUGCUUGCUUUUUUGGCAGAAAGUGUGGAUGCUCAUCUGGUGCCUGUUGUCCUGGGUGCAAGAAAGCCAGAGGCCGCUUGGCUAGCACUCCAAGAAGCUUGUGGAGCUGGAGUGGGAAGCAAGGGCCUAGAAGUGGCUGCAUCAGAAAGGGAGAGGCAAGAUGGCGCCGGCCACAUUCUUGAGUGCCGAUACACAGCUGGGAGGUGCUGUGAGCCCCCACAGGGGGGCGAAGGGACUGUUGCUGUUGUUGUUGCUAGCAAUGCUGCUUGUGCUUUUGCUGAGCCUGGGAGCUGUGUGGAUGCUGCAACGUGUCUGUGUGAGGAACCUGAAGUGGGGCCAAGUGUUGGGAGCCCUUUACCCUUCAGAGGGGGUGCAGGAAAACGUCCUCGAGACCCCGUGAGCAGUGGGGGGGGGGCAGUGAGCAGUGAAAGCUCAGAGACGCCUCUUUCUCCAAAAGCUGCCAAGAGUUGUUUACGUCGUGAGUCGGAGCCUGGGAAGCUGAAAAGGGCUAGAGGCUUCAAGGUCAGCCACCUGCAGAUAGUAGAGAUAAGAGCUUCAGAGUUGUGUGAGAACGCCGAGACAAGUCCAGUCUCCAUGGCAACUGAGAGAGUUGCAUCUACGGAAGCCGUCAAGGUCGUGGGCAAGUCUUCCUGCCGGGGGGAGUCUGUUGCCGUGACAACCAGAGAGGACAUCUGCAGAAGCCCCAAGGAGGGGGGUAGUGAGGAGAUUGUUGCCCUGGCGACCCAGGAAUGUAAACAACAAGACUUUCUCACUGUAAUAAUAGACUCUGGUGCCUCAAAUUCGCUAGUGCCAUCUGUUGAUCUUUUGAGGAAUUGCAGGACAGUAAAAACUGAGAAGUAUGUUACGUUUGCAGGUGGAAGCAGAAAAAGGCUAACAGAGACAGGACUGUUCUUCUGUCCUUUUCUUAAGCAUGAAGUCAAAGCUUAUGCAGUGCCCGGUUUAACUAACUGUUUGUUAAGUGUGCAUGAUCUAUUGAUUGAUAAUUUUCAAAUUUCUUUUGCAGGUGACAAAUGUGAAUUUUCCAAGGAUGGGAAACACGUGUACACAGUGCAGUCUAAAGAUAAUUUGUUUGCUGUAAAUGUGCCUUUUUCCACAGGAGAGGAUGACACCGAAGAUGCGAAGGGCCAAUGUGUGAAUGUAGCGCCCCACAAUGGUUGUUUACAUAUUUGGCACCGACGCUUCGCUCAUUUAAAUUGGAAAUUUCUCCAGAAAGCACCAGAGCUGACACAAGGGUGCAAAUUUAAUGUUUGUGACAAAUUUCUAGAUUGCAAUGCAUGUAAACAGGCGAAAGUUGUGACAUGCUCAUAUCCAAAGUCAGAGAGGCAGACCACGCAACCCUUUGAAUUAAUUCAUGCAGAUUUGUGUGGACCCAUGUCUGUUGAGUCACUGGGAGGUUCGAAGUAUUCUUUACUUUUGAUUGAUGAUUUUUCGAGGUCUGCUUGGACCUUCUCUCUGAAAACGAAAGGGGAGGCGGCUAAAAUGAUCAGGGAUUGGAUCACCGUAGUUGAGGUAACCUUUUCCACCAAAGUUCGUGGUUUUCAAAGUGACAGAGGUGCUGAAUUCACUGGUUCUGCUUUACAGGAUUUCUUUAGGGAGAAGGGGAUUAGCCACAGACUGACCGCUCCUUACUCUCCGCAACAGAAUGGGGUGGCAGAGAGAAAGAACAGGACGGUGCAGGAAGCUGUGUCUGCGAUCCUGUGGGACGCAGGGCUACCCCAGAAAUUUUGGUCGGAGGCCUGGAGAUAUGUGGUCCAUACCGAGAACAGAGUGUACAACUCUAGUGUAGGAAAUACACCGUAUUUCUUACUUCAUGGAAAGAAGCCUAACGUACACUACCUUCGUGUGUUUGGUUGUGAGGCUUGGGUGCUUAUUCCAAAGGCUCUACGCAAGAAAGGUGAGCCAAGAUCUAAAAGGAUGAUCUUUGUAGGGUAUGAGCCUGGCUCAAAGGCCUGGAGGUUUGCGUACCCAAGUGGAGACCAGUCUAGGUUGGUUAUCAGCAAUAGCGCUGAGUUCUGUCAGCAAGCUGGUUGGAAACGUCUGCACGCUAAUCCAGACGUGCUUCCACAGCAGUUCUAUGACUCAGACGAGGAGGAGGAGGAACUUGGAGCUGGGGACCACGGUCCAGAGCAACAGAGUCCAAGGCAGGGACAGCUCAGGAUCCCUCAGAGGGGGGAACCUAGAACACCUCCUCAGGCAAGUGUCAAGUUUGAGCCAAAGAGUGAGCCUUCUUCACCUGCUGGACCAGCUGUAAGGCCCAAGAGGCGCAGCAGGUCAGAGGGGGAAGACACUGAAGCUGAGGAUGAUUUAGCUGGACCCAGUGAAGAGGCAGGGUCACCAGGAGUCACACUGAGGAGAUCAGCGAGGACAAGAAGGCCUCCUGAUCGGUACGACGCUUCAGGCGUCUGGGUAGGUUCUGCAAGAUGUGAACCUGAAUCCUUCGAGGAUAUUCAGAGUCUACCUGAGGAAGAAGCAGGCAAAUGGCACAGGGCAAUGGACAAAGAGAUGAAGUCCAUGAAAGAUCUAGGUGUGUUCUCACUCACAGAGUUGCCACCAGGAAAGAAGGCUGUGAGUUCCAGGUGGGUUUACCGCUUGAAACCCACUGACGCUGGAGAGCCGCAGUAUAAAGCCAGGUUAGUUGCUCGAGGAUUUACGCAGAGGAAGGGAAUACACUUCACGGAGGUGUAUUCGCCAACGUCACGAGUGGAGACUCUGAGAACGCUUUUAGCUUGUGCGGCACAGAGAGGCUGGAAGGUAAACCACUUUGAUGUGGAUGUUGCCUACCUUAACUCAGAUCUCCAGGAGGAGCUGUACAUGAUUCCUCCUCCGGGGUUUGAGAACUCAAGGCAGGAUGUUGUGUGGAGAUUGCACAAAUCCAUCUAUGGAUUACGUCAAUCUGCUAGAAACUGGAACAUGUGCCUGAAUGAAGCUUUGGAGAAGCUAGGUUUCAGGAAGAGUCUUGCUGAUAGUUGCCUGUUCCUUAGAGGGUCAGGAGACUCACAGGAGCUGGUGAUGAUUUGGGUUGAUGACGUGCUUUUCUUCUCAGAAACAGAUGAACAGGCAGAGAAGUUUGCCAAAGAGCUAGGUAAACGAUUCAAGCUUAAACAGCUUGGUGCUGUCAAAACCUAUCUAGGUGUCAAUGUUGAGCGUGCACAGGAUGGAAGUUUUUUGCUCAGCCAGAGAGGUAAAAUUGAGCAACUGCUUCAGAAAAUGAGGAUGAGUGAUUGUGCAGGAGUGAGAAGUCCUAUGGAGACUAGUUUUGUGAAGGACAGCCAGCAAGUAGAACGCACUGCGUUCGAAAAUACUGAAGUGUUUCAGUCAGCUCUAGGGAGUUUGUUGUACUUGUCCCAGUGGAGCAGACCUGAUAUAGCGUUUGCUGUCAAUCUGCUCAGCAGGGAAGCCUCAAACCCUAGUGUGCAAGCCUGGAAUGGCAUCAAGAGAGUUCUGAGGUAUUUGCAGGAGACCAAAGACUUUUGUCUUAGGUUGCCAGCACAAGGAGAAGUCAAACUGACUUGCUUUGUGGACUCGGAUUGGGCUAAUCUUGAGGAUCGCAAGUCUGUGUCUGGCCUAGUGGUGAAGUUUGGGAACUCAGUAGUUGGAUGGAGAUCCAAGAAGCAAAGUCUGAUAGCGCUCUCUUCCACUGAGGCUGAGUUUAGUGCUCUUUCAGAAAUGUGCAGAGAAGUAGAGUUCUAUGCUUGUUUGGUGCAGGAACUCUGCGAAGUGGAUUGUCUGCCGAUACGUGUUUUCGAGGACAAUCAACCAUGCCUGCGUUUGGCAGAGUCAGGUCAGUUCAAGGCCAGAACUAAACACCUAGACAUUCGCUUUCGGAAUGUGUGCCAGAGUGUUCAGGAGGGAUUAGUUGCGCUGAAGUAUUGUCCCUCUGCCAAGAACCUAGCUGAUGGGUUCACGAAACCACUCACCUUCCAAAGACAUGGGGAGUUUUGUGAAGGUCUGGGUUUGGGACGACCAAGGGUCGAUUCUCCCCUCAGGCGCGAGACAAGAGGGGGUGUUGGGUGUAGUGAAGGGUUAACCUUCUGUGUCUCGAGGCUGAGAGGAGGCGCUUACAAGGGAAGUAAGCCAGGACGUGACGGAAGCAGCUUGGAAUGCUGUGAGCUGAGUGAAAAGUGAAAGCAGCUUUGUUCCGCAGCUGCUGCUGAGAGAGAAGGAUGCAAAUGCAGAGCAAAAUGCAGCUACAAUCUGAUGGUGUUUCUGAACUGUAAAUAUGCUACUUUUGAGCAAAUAAAGUGCUAUUAG